UUCAACCUCGCUCUGAUUCUGCCAACAAGAGCUUAAUCUCUGUUAACUCUCAGUGCUCAGUCGUUGUGCAACACCUGUCAGACGUCUGAUCAACAUUCCCACAUCAAGAGAUGUGUCCUAAAGCAAUACUACUGACAACCGUUCUUAUCCUAUGUUUUGGUUCAGCACAAGCGGACGAACUUGGUGAUGGGUAAGUAUUUACAGUGCACAUCGCGAUAUUGCUUUUCUUGAACAUGGUAUUUUCAACUGAGACUU